UGGUGAAUACUGCUUGCUGUGUUUU
rnacentral:piRNA from 1 species